UUGAACGCUGGCGGCAGGCCUAACACAUGCAAGUCGAGCGGAUGAAGGGAGCUUGCUCCUGGAUUCAGCGGCGGACGGGUGAGUAAUGCCUAGGAAUCUGCCUGGUAGUGGGGGAUAACGUCCGGAAACGGGCGCUAAUACCGCAUACGUCCUGAGGGAGAAAGUGGGGGAUCUUCGGACCUCACGCUAUCAGAUGAGCCUAGGUCGGAUUAGCUAGUUGGUGGGGUAAAGGCCUACCAAGGCGACGAUCCGUAACUGGUCUGAGAGGAUGAUCAGUCACACUGGAACUGAACCACGUUCAAGACUCCUACGGAAGGAGGCGUUGGGAAUUAUUGAACAUUGGGCGAAGGCCUGUUCCAGCCAUGCCGGUUGUGUGAAGAAGGUCUUCGGUUUGUAAAGCACUUUAGGUUGGAAGAAAGGCAAGUAGGUUAAUACCUGCCUGUUUGACCGUACCAACAGAAUAAGCACCGGCUAACUUCGUG
rnacentral:rRNA from 1 species